rnacentral:rRNA from 1 species
UACAGGGGGUGCAAACGUUGCUCGGAAUUACUGGGCGUAAAGGGCUCGUAGGUGGCCAACUAAGUCAUACGUGAAAUCCCUCGGCUUAACCGGGGAACUGCGUCUGAUACUGGAUGGCUUGAGAUUGGGAGAGGGAUGCGGAAUUCCAGGUGUAGCGGUGAAAUGCGUAGAUAUUGGGAGGAACACCAGUGGCGAAGGCGGCUACCUGGACCGGUACUGACGCUGAUGCGCGAAAGCGUGGGUAGCAAACAGG